rnacentral:rRNA from 1 species
UACGGAGGGUGCAAGCGUUAUCCGGAUUUAUUGGGUUUAAAGGGUCCGUAGGCGGAUCUGUAAGUCAGUGGUGAAAUCUCAUAGCUUAACUAUGAAACUGCCAUUGAUACUGCAGGUCUUGAGUAAGGUAGAAGUAGCUGGAAUAAGUAGUGUAGCGGUGAAAUGCAUAGAUAUUACUUAGAACACCAAUUGCGAAGGCAGGUUACUAUGUCUUAACUGACGCUGAUGGACGAAAGCGUGGGGGAGCGAACAGG